UGAUGCAGCGACGCCGCGUGAGGGAUGACGGCCUUCGGGUUGUAAACCUCUUUCGGCAGGGAAGAAGUCUCUGGGUUUUCUUGGGGGUGACGGUACCUGCAGAAGAAGCACCGGCUAACUACGUGCCAGCAGCCGCGGUAAUACGUAGGGUGCAAGCGUUGUCCGGAAUUAUUGGGCGUAAAGAGCUCGUAGGCGGCGUGUCGCGUCGGUUGUGAAAGCCCGGGGCUUAACUCCGGGUCUGCAGUCGAUACGGGCAUGCUGGAGUUCGGCAGGGGAGACUGGAAUUCCUGGUGUAGCGGUGAAAUGCGCAGAUAUCAGGAGGAACACCGGUGGCGAAGGCGGGUCUCUGGGCCGAUACUGACGCUGAGGAGCGAAAGCGUGGGGAGCGAACAGGAUUAGAUACCCUGGUAGUCCACGCCGUAAACGGUGGGCACUAGGUGUGGGCUGCUUCAUUGUGGUCUGUGCCGUAGCUAACGCAUUAAGUGCCCCGCCUGGGGAGUACGGCCGCAAGG
rnacentral:rRNA from 1 species